rnacentral:rRNA from 1 species
GUAGGUGGCAAGCGUUGUCCGGAAUUAUUGGGCGUAAAGCGCGCGCAGGCGGUUCGUUUUAAGUCUGAUGUGAAAGCCCACGGGCUCAACCGUGGAGGGUCAUUGGAAACUGGAGAACUUGAGUACAGAAGAGGAAAGCGGAAUUCCACGUGUAGCGGUGAAAUGCGUAGAGAUGUGGAGGAACACCAGUGGCGAAGGCGGCUUUCCGGUCUGUAACUGACGCUGAGGCGCGAAAGCGUGGGGAGCAAACAGGAUUAGAUACCCUGGUAGUCCACGCCGUAAACGAUGAGUGCUAAGUGGUUACGGGGGGUUUCCGACCCCUUAGUGCUGCAGCUAACGCAUUAAGCACUCCGCCGUGGGGAGUACGGCCGCAAAGGCUG